UGGGGAAUAUUGCACAAUGGGCGCAAGCCUGAUGCAGCAAUGCCGCGUGUGUGAAGAAGGCCUGCGGGUUGUAAAGCACUUUUAUUAGGAAAGAAAAACCCGGAGCUAAUACCUCCGGCAUUGACGGUACCUAAAGAAUAAGCACCGGCUAACUCAGUGCCAGCAGCCGCGGUAAUACUGAGGGUGCGAGCGUUAAUCGGAAUUACUGGGCGUAAAGCGAGUGUAGGCGGCUUCGUAAGUCGGAUGUGAAAGCCCCGGGCUCAACCUGGGAAUUGCAUUCGAAACUGCGCGGCUAGAGUUUGGUAGAGGUAAGUGGAAUUCCGGGUGUAGCGGUGAAAUGCGUAGAUAUCCGGAGGAACAUCAGUGGCGAAGGCGGCUUACUGGACCGAAACUGACGCUGAGGCUCGAAAGCGUGGGGAGCAAACAGGAUUAGAUACCCUGGUAGUCCACGCCCUAAACGAUGUCAACUAGACGUUAGGCUCAUUAAUGAGCUUAGUGUCGAAGCUAACGCGUUAAGUUGACCGCCUGGGGAGUACGGCCGCAAGGUUG
rnacentral:rRNA from 1 species